UUGAACGCUGGCGGCAUGCCUUACACAUGCACGUCGAACGGUAACAGGUCUUCGGACGCUGACGAGUGGCGAACGGGUGAGUAAUGCAUCGGAACGUGCCCAGUCGUGGGGGAUAACUGCUCGAAAGAGCAGCUAAUACCGCAUACGACCUGAGGGUGAAAGCGGGGGACCGUAAGGCCUCGCGCGAUUGGAGCGGCCGAUGUCAGAUUAGCUAGUUGGUGGGGUAAAGGCCUACCAAGGCAACGAUCUGUAGUUGGUCUGAGAGGACGACCAGCCACACUGGGACUGAGACACGGCCCAGACUCCUACGGGAGGCAGCAGUGGGGAAUUUUGGACAAUGGGCGCAAGCCUGAUCCAGCAAUGCCGCGUGCAGGAAGAAGGCCUUCGGGUUGUAAACUGCUUUUGUCAGGGAAGAAAUCUUCUGGGCUAAUACCCCGGGAGGAUGACGGUACCUGAAGAAUAAGCACCGGCUAACUACGUG
rnacentral:rRNA from 1 species